rnacentral:rRNA from 1 species
UGGUGGAGUGAUUUGUCUGGUUAAUUCCGUUAACGAACGAGACCUCAGCGUAUUGGUUGUGCGCGUCGUACUGUGUACGGCGUGCGGAUUGAGACGGACGAUCGGUGUUUAGCCGAUGGAAGUUUGAGGCAAUAACA